AUCCUCUUACCGCCAUUUUAGAGGGUUAAGAGCGUAGCGUGUUACUUUGGACUCUCCCGAAUGGUUGAAUAUUUUCUCCCGCAAAUCUCACAAGAAAUUGCUUUAUUAUUCGCGUAGUGUGCAGCAGUAGGAUUCGUGAUUCAAGAUGAGUUACGGCAGGCCUCCGCCCGACGUCGAGGGCAUGACAUCUUUAAAAGUUGACAAUCUGACUUACCGCACGUCUCCAGAAACUCUGCGGCGUGUUUUCGAGAAGUACGGCCGGGUCGGGGACGUUUACAUCCCGAGAGACCGGUACACGAAAGAGAGCCGCGGGUUCGCAUUUGUCCGUUUCCACGAUAAGCGUGACGCGGAGGACGCGAUGGACGCCAUGGACGGUGCACUGCUGGACGGGCGCGAGCUGCGCGUGCAGAUGGCGCGAUACGGGCGUCCGCCAGACUCGCACUACAGCCGCCGCGGAGCCGCACCGAGGCGAUCUGGUGGAUAUGGACGGAGAAGCCGCAGCCGUAGUCCUCGUCGUAGGAGGCACAGCAGAAGCAGGAGUCGAUCCCAUUCCCGCAGCAGAUCCCGCUACAGCCGGUCUAGAUCCAGGUCCGAGUCCCACUCACGGUCUCGCUCCAAGUCCCAAACACCCCGCAGGAGCAAGUCCAAAUCACCUUCCAGGUCUCGCUCAAGGUCCAAAUCCAAGUCUCGCUCCAGGAGCCACACGCCCAGAUCUAACAAAGGAUCCAAAUCACGAUCCAGAUCAAGAAGCAGACCCAAGUCUCCAGAGGACAAAGGAGCCAACGCUGAAUCGUGAAAUUUAGGUAAGCCAAAGAGACUGCAUAGAAGUGUGUCCCUAGAGUUCAUACAAAUUGGAAUGGUCAUCUUAGAAAUGUAAUUAUUCUCAGAGUCCUCUGAGACUUUUAAGUGAAAUUAAGAAGAAAAUCACAAUUUCUCAAAAGUAUCAACUUAAAUGAUUUAGCUAUUUGAGCAGAGUGAGAUUCAUAGAUCAUUUGAUGAUCAGUUAUAAUGCUUUUUUAUAUAUAUAUAUAUAUAUAUAAAAUUGCACAGAAUGCAAAUACACUAUGUAUUGUCCCACUCUACUACCAUCCUUCAAGUCUGUUCAAUAUAUUGAAUUGCAAGGUAAAAGUUCAUAUUAAUGUAGGUUAACUGGUAGUAGAUGCAUUCCCUUAAUGUUGUCAGGUUUUUCAGUUUAUAAUAGCAUAAUUUUUAAUACAAGGGCGUGAGGUAGAUUAGUAUGACGGAACUGUUAUUCACAGCAUCCUGCCUGGAAUCUCCACUCCGCUGAGUUGAUCUCAGAACUUUGAUUUUGAAGUACUUCUAAUGCAUAUUUUAAACCUUACAAUGGAUUUUUGGUUUGGAGCCAUCAUUGGGUACAACACAGUAAGUAUUUGUUUGUUUUGAAAUCAAUGGAUUUUGGGUGGUGCACGUUUCAUCUAAAUGUGGAAUUCUUUCCUCCAAGCUGCUGAUUCCUGUUUGCAAAAGAGGAGUUUGGGGCAGUUUGAGAGCAGUUAGUGUGUGAUCCGACCAUUGGCUGCCUGCUGCUGAUUGGCGGUUGCUAUGGAGCAGGUCGGUCUCAUUGAGUGUUGAGGUGGUGUUGAGGUAUGUCUGAAGGACAAUGGACUUGAGACCUUUCCAUCAUCCUUGUCACAAGCUCAUGUCUGUCGUGGCAUAGGCAAAAGCAGGACGGAUACGGGGUGUGUUCUCGGAGCUGGUUUAAGCAAUCAGGCCGCUGAGUGCGUUUUAUAUGCUUGAAUAUGAUGGCAAGUGAUUGAAACUUCAAGGAUCGCAUCAAAUGGAGAUGUCUGUCUGAGGAUAUCCAAAUUAUCCAUAUAGCAGACCAAAGGCGCAGUUGCGUAGCAGUUGUGUUUUGCUGGUUAGCUGUUAAGGUGGUGUUGCAGUGCAGAGUGCUUGGCUGUUUCCAGUAUUCUCCUGAUUGCUCCUGUAUAAUGCAUUGAUUUGAAAUUAAGAUUGGCUGCAGCAUUUUUGUUCUUUUUCAGAAAGAUUCUGUGCAAGUCCUUUUGUGAAUAUCUGUGCCCAUGUUACAUCUUGGGAAGUAGAUUAAGAUAUAAUUUUGGUAGCAGUUAUUGACUGAAAUACACCAUUAGUUGCCAUUUCCAUAUGAAUGCUAAUAAAGGUUUUCUUUCUCUGAGCAUUUAGUGUAUAGCAA